ACCAUUUUCUUCCUCUUCUUCUUCCUUCGCUAGGGCACAACAACAACAACACUACAGCAUCCUAAAUUUCGUUCUCUUUCCUCUUCUCCUUCUGAACCUCUCUCCCUCGUCGGUUCUCACACUCACGAUAUUGUAUCUAUAAGUUUUUCUGAUCCCUUCGAACUUUUUGUUGACUUCUCAUGUUGGUUUUUAGGUUCUUGAUUUUCCUUCCAUGCCCCUCUAAUGGCAUCGUUCUACUAUUCGGUAGGAUGAGAAGCUCUUAGGUUUUGCUAAUUUUUUUAGUGCUUAUCGUUGGAUUAAGAAAAUUUGGGUGUCAAUGAGCUUCGUGGCAUGGACGAAUAACGCGAAGAUGUCAAGGACGUUGUCCGUUAUUUGUUCAAGGAAGUAGAUUUUCGGAUUGAAAAUUGUGGGCUUCAAUCUAGGUUUUACAAGAAUCCAUUGGAGCAGUGAAGCCAUAUUAGAGCAAUUGAUUGAUUUAUAGGCCUUUUUGUAGGUUUGGUAGCAAAUUUUUUGUUGUUAAAUAGUUUGUUGGUACCAAAACAUGUAUGUUUAUUUUCUCAUUGUACAAACCAUUUACCAACAAUUGUACAAAUAUUACAAAGUGUAUGUUAACGUAUAUAUAUUAAAGCGUUGACUGUUUGUUUUCA